AACUUGCUAUUUCCUGAAAACCUACCGCUGUUUUUUCUCCCUUUCUCUCUCCCUUUCUCUUUAUAAUACGUUCUGAGCAUUGAAACAAACCCAGGUAACUUGAUAAGAAGUUAAUGAAAACAAAUGAAUUCUGCUUUGCAAAGGUGCACCGAGGAGAAGGGCGGCAGUGUUUGGCAGAGGGGGACUUGUCUCUGGUGAAAAGAGGUUUCAAGGGACAGCUGGCUUCAAAGUCCUCCCAUGCCAAGUUUUGCAGGGGAGAAAUUGCAAAAGAAAAGUCUCUCUAGAUUUCCUUUUUUGUUGUUGUUGUUUUAGACGUUGGUGGUGACACGACAUGGUUCAUUCACUACCAUAGGAUUUGAUUUUGGUGUUUCGCUCUGGGGAGGUUGCACUGGGCUGCGUUUGCCAACCCCAAAGAAGCCCCGGGUCCCAUCCUCGGUCCCGGCAGCUGCCUCCACCCACCCGUGGCACCCAUCUGCCCACUCCACCGCCACCCAGCACCACUGGCACCCCGACACGUGCUCGAGGUGUUUGCCACGAGUCCCAGCACCUCCGGCUGGCAGAAAUUCGUGGCCCCCGCUGCGAGCAGCAGCACGCUGCCCGACUCAGACACUCUCCUGGGAGCGGGUGAAGUGGUCCAGCAAAAGCCGGGCGAUGCAGCAUCCCCGCCGAGCCCUGGAUGCUGCUCUCAGGCCAAAAUGUUUCCAGCGCUACGGAGAUUUCACUGUUUCAAGGGGUGUUUUGGAUGGACUGCUGGUGAGCACUGGGCCUUCACUUCUCAGUCCUACUGCUGAUGCAUUCUAAAACCAGGCUUCCUUCCAGGGCUUUUUGAGCAGCAGCAUUAAAAACAUUGUGCUGAACCCUCUUCCCCUCCAUCUACCGAGGAAAAUGCACAGUGGAGGAAAGUGAAAUUCCAGAUUGCUCAGCAGAAAGGAAAAACCAGCUUGGAAGCCCCUCUGGAAAGGGGCCAAGCAGUAAUCCCAUGCUGUGUGGGUGAGAACGGCAGCAUCUCCUUUGGACUUCGACGGAGCGAGAGCUGCUCGCACCCACUCGGGAUCCAACCUCCUCCGUUUAUAGCCCUGAUUUUAAACCAGCUAAAUGAAAAUACUUGUGGGAAGCAAAAAUAGCCGGCGCUGAAAACCUGUGUCUGCUGAGGGUGGAAAUUGCUGGGAGUUCCUCCGUGGCUGCAGCCGACCAUUAUAACCUGUGUCAUAAAUAAGAGGCGGUUGCGCGGCGUGCCGCGGCCGGGCUCCCUGCAGCGGCGCUGAGCCCGCGCGCCCCAGCCGCAGCCCGCGGGAGCGCAGCUGCUGCCCUCGGUGCCACGGCCUGGCUGCUCCGAGGAUGCUGGUGAGCGGCUCUGCG
rnacentral:lncRNA from 1 species